rnacentral:rRNA from 1 species
GACAGAGGUGCCGAGCGUUAGGCGGAAUUACUGGGCGUAAAGCGCGUGUAGGCGGCCCGCUAAGUCUGAUGUGAAAGCCCGGGGCUCACCCCCGGAAGUGCAUUGGAGACUGGCGGGCUCGAGUCCCGGAGAGGAGGGUGGAAUUCCUGGUGUAGCGGUGAAAUGCGUAGAUAUCAGGAGGAACACCGGUGGCGAAGGCGGCCCUCUGGACGGUGACUGACGCUGAGACGCGAAAGCGUGGGGAGCAAACAGG